AGAUUAAGUUAUUAAGGGCGCACGGUGGAUGCCUUGGCACUAGAAGCCGAUGAAGGACGUUACUAACGACGAUAUGCUUUGGGGAGCUGUAAGUAAGCUUUGAUCCAGAGAUUUCCGAAUGGGGAAACCCAGCAUGAGUUAUGUCAUGUUAUCGAUAUGUGAAUACAUAGCAUAUCAGAAGGCACACCCGGAGAACUGAAACAUCUUAGUACCCGGAGGAAGAGAAAGAAAAUUCGAUUCCCUUAGUAGCGGCGAGCGAAACGGGAAGAGCCCAAACCAACAAGCUUGCUUGUUGGGGUUGUAGGACACUCUAUACGGAGUUACAAAGGACGACAUUAGACGAAUCAUCUGGAAAGAUGAAUCAAAGAAGGUAAUAAUCCUGUAGUCGAAAAUGUUGUCUCUCUUGAGUGGAUCCUGAGUACGACGGAGCACGUGAAAUUCCGUCGGAAUCUGGGAGGACCAUCUCCUAAGGCUAAAUACUCUCUAGUGACCGAUAGUGAACCAGUACCGUGAGGGAAAGGUGAAAAGCACCCCGGAAGGGGAGUGAAAUAGAACCUGAAACCGUGUGCUUACAAGUAGUCAGAGCCCGUUAAUGGGUGAUGGCGUGCCUUUUGUAGAAUGAACCGGCGAGUUACGAUUUGAUGCAAGGUUAAGCAGUAAAUGUGGAGCCGUAGCGAAAGCGAGUCUGAAUAGGGCGUUUAGUAUUUGGUCGUAGACCCGAAACCAGGUGAUCUACCCUUGGUCAGGUUGAAGUUCAGGUAACACUGAAUGGAGGACCGAACCGACUUACGUUGAAAAGUGAGCGGAUGAACUGAGGGUAGCGGAGAAAUUCCAAUCGAACCUGGAGAUAGCUGGUUCUCUCCGAAAUAGCUUUAGGGCUAGCCUCAAGUGAUGAUUAUUGGAGGUAGAGCACUGUUUGGACGAGGGGCCCCUCUCGGGUUACCGAAUUCAGACAAACUCCGAAUGCCAAUUAAUUUAACUUGGGAGUCAGAACAUGGGUGAUAAGGUCCGUGUUCGAAAGGGAAACAGCCCAGACCACCAGCUAAGGUCCCAAAAUAUAUGUUAAGUGGAAAAGGAUGUGGCGUUGCCCAGACAACUAGGAUGUUGGCUUAGAAGCAGCCAUCAUUUAAAGAGUGCGUAAUAGCUCACUAGUCGAGUGACACUGCGCCGAAAAUGUACCGGGGCUAAACAUAUUACCGAAGCUGUGGAUUGUCCUUUGGACAAUGGUAGGAGAGCGUUCUAAGGGCGUUGAAGCAUGAUCGUAAGGACAUGUGGAGCGCUUAGAAGUGAGAAUGCCGGUGUGAGUAGCGAAAGACGGGUGAGAAUCCCGUCCACCGAUUGACUAAGGUUUCCAGAGGAAGGCUCGUCCGCUCUGGGUUAGUCGGGUCCUAAGCUGAGGCCGACAGGCGUAGGCGAUGGAUAACAGGUUGAUAUUCCUGUACCACCUAUAAUCGUUUUAAUCGAUGGGGGGGACGCAGUAGGAUAGGCGAAGCGUGCGAUUGGAUUGCACGUCUAAGCAGUAAGGCUGAGUAUUAGGCAAAUCCGGUACUCGUUAAGGCUGAGCUGUGAUGGGGAGAAGACAUUGUGUCUUCGAGUCGUUGAUUUCACACUGCCGAGAAAAGCCUCUAGAUAGAAAAUAGGUGCCCGUACCGCAAACCGACACAGGUAGUCAAGAUGAGAAUUCUAAGGUGAGCGAGCGAACUCUCGUUAAGGAACUCGGCAAAAUGACCCCGUAACUUCGGGAGAAGGGGUGCUCUUUAGGGUUAACGCCCAGAAGAGCCGCAGUGAAUAGGCCCAAGCGACUGUUUAUCAAAAACACAGGUCUCUGCUAAACCGUAAGGUGAUGUAUAGGGGCUGACGCCUGCCCGGUGCUGGAAGGUUAAGAGGAGUGGUUAGCUUCUGCGAAGCUACGAAUCGAAGCCCCAGUAAACGGCGGCCGUAACUAUAACGGUCCUAAGGUAGCGAAAUUCCUUGUCGGGUAAGUUCCGACCCGCACGAAAGGCGUAACGAUUUGGGCACUGUCUCAACGAGAGACUCGGUGAAAUCAUAGUACCUGUGAAGAUGCAGGUUACCCGCGACAGGACGGAAAGACCCCGUGGAGCUUUACUGUAGCCUGAUAUUGAAAUUCGGCACAGCUUGUACAGGAUAGGUAGGAGCCUUUGAAACGUGAGCGCUAGCUUACGUGGAGGCGCUGGUGGGAUACUACCCUAGCUGUGUUGGCUUUCUAACCCGCACCACUUAUCGUGGUGGGAGACAGUGUCAGGCGGGCAGUUUGACUGGGGCGGUCGC
rnacentral:rRNA from 1 species